GUGGUUGUGGGCGGAGCAGUUGCCGUACCAGGCGGUGAUACAGCCUGACAGGAUGCUCUCAAUUGUGCAUCUGUAAAAGUUUGAGGGUUUUCGGUGACAAGCCCAACCACAAUGUUAUUGUGUUGUAAUUCUAAUCACAGACAGAUUCGAGUUCUAUGUUUGAUUUGAAUAAAUACUUUAGGAUCAGAAAGACGUGCUGCAAAGCAACAGUCACCUGCUCCUGCCACUAGCCUUGCCCCUGACCAAUGGAGAGAGAGGGACAGCAGAGGCAACAUAAUUCACAAAAUACCUGGACCAAAAAGGUCUAAGAAGACCUCAAGACAUGUUUCCUGUACCGGUACCCAUCCUCCUGCAGUCCAUGCUCCUGCAGCUAUCCCCACAAGAUACAGGACCUACAGGAGCUGAUGAGGAGUUCCACUGGGCCAUAUUGUCACGUAACCCCAAAGGUAACUUGGGCAGAGAGGCAGGCCUUGUGUGCAUAAAAGUGGGGGGAAAGAGAGAGGCAAUGGUGGACAGCAUGCUCUCUGCUGAAGGUACUGUGUUGGGCCAGUGUCAGUACUGCAACAGGGAGGAUGCUGUUGUGCAGUGCAGAGAUUGACUGCCGAGGCAUCUUCUCUGUGCCGCAUGUGACAUAGCCACUCAUAGCACCAAGAUUUUGCACAACAGGGAGACUCUGUUUGACGGGUUUUAUCACCCCUUGUCCCCAACCACCGUAAUUCAACAGGAUGAUGAGGGGUCCCUUACAAGGUGAGUUUAUUGUUUUGGUGUUUCAAAUGAAAUCUGAUAGCACCUCCUGCAAUACCAACUUUUUAGUCAUGCUGCACAAUUUUCAAUGCAUCAGUAUUGUCACCUUCUGACCUUAGUUAUUUUAUUAUGUCUUUGUUUUAGUAUGGUCAGGGCAUGAGU